CCACUCUUAUAUUAUUAUGAAGGAGCUUUAGUCUCCUUGCCUUUCUUGAGUUCUUUGUUCAAAGUUACAGUAGACAUUAGUGUAUUGUACAAAGUUUCUAGUUUCCUUGAAUAUGGACACAUAUAAAGCAAAUAUUCUCUGAAAAGAGAAUAUUGCCUUGAUUAGAAAUGAGUGUGAGGGACGAGAGGAAAUGAUAAUGAGAAGAUGGGCUAGAACACAUCCUCCAUGCACAGAACAUUAUACAGCAAGUUAAGGUACAUGAAAAUUUGCUAUUAUUGGUAUCCCUUCAGGAGGAAUAGAAAGUGAGCAGAAGAGACCUUGUACAAAAUCAAGGAAGCCAGAAUUAAAAGGAAUAAAAAUCAACAUGGGCAUUUUGAUUUUUAUUUUUGUAGCAUGGACCUACCAACCUUGAACAUGGUUUCGAUGCAAUGACCCGGAAAAAAUAAUAACAAAUGGCUUAGACGCCAGGAAGCUUGGAUCUAAAAGUAUGGAAUUUCUUGGCAGGGAGAGGUGGUCCUAUAAUUGGGGAAAUGCAACAGGUUCCGAAUUUCUUUAUUUGAAUUUUGCUGAGAAUCAAGAGCAGUACAAUUUACCUUUAUUCAAACUAACACAGAAACAGAAAACCAAACACCUCAUGUUCUAAGUGGGAGCUGAAGGAUGAAAACACAUGGACACAUUAGGGGGAACAACACUUUCUGG
rnacentral:lncRNA from 10 species